GGCCUUGACAUACUAAGAACUUUCCAGAGAUGGAUUGGUGCCUUCGGGAACUUAGAUACAGGUGCUGCAUGGCUGUCGUCAGCUCGUGUCGUGAGAUUGUUGGGUUAAGUCCCGNAACGAGCGCAACCCUUUUCCUAUUUGCCAGCGGGUCAUGCCGGGAACUUUAAGGAUACUGCCAGUGACAAACUGGAGGAAGGCGGGGACGACGUCAAGUCAUCAUGGCCCUUACGGCCAGGGCUACACACGUGCUACAAUGGUCGGUACAAAGGGUUGCUACCUCGCGAGAGGAUGCUAAUCUCAAAAAGCCGAUCGUAGUCCGGAUCGCAGUCUGCAACUCGACUGCGUGAAGUCGGAAUCGCUAGUAAUCGCGGAUCAGAAUGCCGCGGUGAAUACGUUCCCGGGCCUUGUACACACCGCCCGUCACACCAUGGGAGUUUGUUGCACCAGAAGUAGGUAGUCUAACCGCAAGGAGGACGCUUACCACGGUGUGGCCGAUGACUGGGGUGAAGUCGUAACAAGGUAGGCGUAGAUGA
rnacentral:rRNA from 1 species